rnacentral:rRNA from 1 species
AUUGAACGCUGGCGGCAUGCUUUACACAUGCAAGUCGAACGGUAACAGGCCUUCGGGCGCUGACGAGUGGCGAACGGGUGAGUAAUGCAUCGGAACGUGCCCAGUCGUGGGGGAUAACGCAGCGAAAGCUGUGCUAAUACCGCAUACGAUCCGCGGAUGAAAGCGGGGGACCUUCGGGCCUCGCGCGAUUGGAGCGGCCGAUGUCAGAUUAGGUAGUUGGUGGGGUAAAGGCUCACCAAGCCAACGAUCUGUAGCUGGUCUGAGAGGACGACCAGCCACACUGGGACUGAGACACGGCCCAGACUCCUACGGGAGGCAGCAGUGGGGAAUUUUGGACAAUGGGCGCAAGCCUGAUCCAGCAAUGCCGCGUGCAGGAAGAAGGCCUUCGGGUUGUAAACUGCUUUUGUACGGAGCGAAAAGGCUCCCUCUAAUACAGGGGGCUCAUGACGGUACCGUAAGAAUAAGCACCGGCUAACUACGUGCCAGCCGCCGCUGUAAAAC